ACCAAUUGUUGAAUGUACAGUAAUGAAUAAUGUAGGUCGACUUCAAUAUGAGUGAUACUCAAGUUGGGUCUAGCUGGGUGGGUGUCUACAUUUGGACUUUUAUGGAAUAAUAUAGAUAAACAGCACAAACAGGUUGAAGGGAUGAUUGGAAGAUUUCAGUUAGAAAAUUUCAAGUUGAAUAAUGCCUAAAAACAGAUAAAGUAUAUGAUUUACACAAAAAUGAGUUUUUAAACCACGAUACGAGUUUAGCUAUCACAAUUCACAAUAGUAGGUAUCUUCAGGUGGGUGAAGUUUCAGUUUCAGUUAAACUUCGGGUUUGAUGAAAUUCAAAUACUAUCGCAACUCUGGAUGUGAAGUGGUAUUGCCUUCAUUUUAUGUAACAUUCCAGGUCUCUUCUGGCAGCCCAUUCUGUGAAAUUUUCCAGACAAUCUAUGGGGACCAUUUACUAUUUGGAACUUUUUUUGGAGUACCAUGAAUCUGUUUUUUGAACUUCGCGGAAAAUGUUCAAACUUGAGCACUUUUCCAAUAUUGUGUUUCACUGUUGGAAGGCCAAGAUGCUGGUGGAGGCGAAAUUGCUGGAUCGAUGGAUUUGAGAUGAAGUGGUGAAUUGACAUAAACACUGAAGAAACUAGAUAAAUUCAGAAUCAGGGACUUGUCUUGUUACAAUUUAUUAUUGGAAUUAAAGAAAGUUGAAUUCUUUA